rnacentral:lncRNA from 13 species
AGGCAGAUUAUGGACCAAGGAAACUAGAAGCCUAAGAAGAUGACCCCUAUCACUUCUGGCAUCUUGUCGACAGAAAGUUCUUCUUCUGCUCCCAGUCAUUGAAGUUCAUCAACAGCGACGGCGUGUGAUCGGAAAGCAGACUGUGCCAGUAAAGAGGCUGAGCUCACCUGUAUCCAGCCAAACAGCCAAUGCCACCUUCCCAAGCAAAACCAACAGCACCCACUCCACUUGUGGUUGAUGGAGGGCAAAGUGGAUGUGUGUCAGGGUGACAGUGGGGGUCCCCUUGUGUUCCUAUCCUGGUUUUGGCAGCUGGUGGGGGUGGUGAGCUGGGGGGUGGGCUGUGCCCGCCGGGGCACCCUGGGGUCUACUGCAGAAAGUACUACUGAAAAUCCAGUUUCUCUCAGCGGUAACUACUGUAAACUGACUGGUAUUCUCUCUCGAUGAGCGCUGAGUGGUUCUGGAAAACAUUCACACAGUCAAAAGACAUACACACUGCACUGACUCACAAUACUGAGCUGUAAAGUUUCUUUGUGUUCUUAUUUUAUAUUAUCUUAGAGACUUUGAGUUAUGUAUUUCAUUUUUUACAAAUAUUUUAUGGUUGAUUAAUGAUUUGUCCAAUUUUGACAGGCAAAAAAAAGACAAUGUACUAUUAUAUUCAAAAGUUUAUUGGAUUCUUGUGGCUUUUUAUAAUAAAUCAUAUGAGCGGAUAUGCAUGAUGGAGAGAUUACAUGGGAGGCAUCAUUUGAGGGAAUAGGAGAAACAUGGCUGUACAUUCAUAUUAGUUGGAAGAGGAAUGUGGGACUAAGGGGUCAGUAUUGUCUGGGUACAUUAUAGAUUCAAACAUUCUGUUGUCUUAAGUGCAAUAAUGGAUGAGGUCACUAUUUCCGCUACUACAACUUGGCACAACAAAGUGUUCUCAGAAUUUCCAAACCACAAAGAUUGAACUUUUGCUUCACCUAUCCAGUUUUCAGUACAGUUGUCAAAAUAAAGGGAACAAGGAAGACAGUUGGUACUAGGUCAUCCAGAACUGUGUAAGGGCAUUUCAACAGAACGCGUGAGUCACUUUCACAGUUCGGCUUUGUUUAGAGGUUAUACAUGUAACAUUUCCACCUGCAACUAGCGCCAAAUAUCAAUUACAUACCAGUAGAAGCAAAGGAAUAGAAAUCACAAGAAUAAAAUCUACUUUUUAGAAAGCUGCGUGACGCUGCAAAUUAGUUGUGUACAACUUCCUGCAUUACGAUUGGUUCUCGUUUGUGAGGUUGACAACAAUAGCAAGAACAUUAGCAGUACAAAACUUCUUCGUCCUUGUAACAAUCUUUUUUGGAUUGUGAUACGGUAAGCUGUACUAUGUCAUUUGUAAGCAUUUGUAAGCAGUCGCCUUUAAAAAAAAAACAUGAUGCAAUUGGAUUUAUGGCUUACAUCUUACAUGUUGCUCCUUGAAAUUACACUGUAUAUUGCAUAGCUCCAUAGGUUCUAACAUUCAGGAACCUUUGAAGGUCUUUUCACACAUCACAACAGAACUAAACUUGACAUGAGAGAAGACACAACUAUGUGCCUUCCAAACAUUGACAAAAAGGGCCACAUACUGUAGUAACAGAAAAAAAGAGGCUAGCUUCCCAGAGUGAGAAGGGAAAGCUUAUACAUCAGUGCAUUACAGGCUAAAUAAGUAUUCAAAUCUGCGCAGCAAGGUCUGCACUAUGUACCUCUCCUUUGUACUUAAUUGAUUGGCCAGAAUCUCUAUACAGGUGAUUUCACAGGUCUGAACCAGACAGUCUCUGUUUAAAAACAAUGAAAACGAGCAGUGCUGCAGACCUCAAGGACUGAAUACCCUUGAACUAUAAGCCUAUGUUCCUCAUCUACCCUGGAUCAACUCCAUAUCCCAUAUGCCACUUUGAUUACUGUUGCUCUUGUCAUUUUUAUUGCUUACAUUAUCACAGUAAAAGGAACUCAAAAUGGUUUAUUGGAAUCCUGCAGUAGCUACAGUAUAGUAAUGUUGAUGUGAUGUCAGGGCAGCUUUGCGAAAGCAAAUCCCAUUGAGGGAACUGCAGCAGCCUGUCCUACAGUGUGUGGAUGUCUUCCUCUCCGUAGUGGUGUUUGUGUUUGCAUAGUAUCACUGUUAUCUUAGGAGAGUAUGAAUCAGCCAGGGAUUCAGUGCCACAAGCUCAAAGCCAUGUCCAACCAGAGAUAGUACAUGUACUACUGUCGAUGGCCAAACCAUGGUGUCGGUCUGUUCUCAUCUAAGACAGCAAAGAUUAUUCGUUCAACUUUACCCUCAUGUUAAAUAUACAUUUAGGUUCAUUCACUCACUGCUCCACCGAUACAACACAUCUCUGUUUACACACAUGUCUAGCACAGCCGAAGAAUAUACAUAUCUACGGUAAAGUGCCCAAAAUAUCCUCCUGCUAUUGCUACAAGCCAGUGCAUUUAUUUGAAGGGCUAUGCUAUGGGAACAGCAACACCAGGGGUUGUCCACAUUAGAAACAGGUUCAGCAAGUGAUUGAGGGAGGUAUAUUUGUUAUGUUUAUACAAUGACAGAUUCAGCAAGUUCCUGGACAAUGGACAUAGACGUGAACUUCUUCCCUGAACAUGGUUCUUCCACAAUUCUGUCACACACUGGAAGUAUCUUCAAAACAACUAUUGUAUCUUGACAUUGUAGUUCACUAGCAAUGGGUUUCCAUUGCUAGUCAAUGACAUUCCAUUCCUGAUCAGAUAUGGGUUUCUCCCAGUCCAUUCCUGAUCAGACGUGGGUUUCUCAGGGUUAUCCCAGUCCAUUCCUGAUCAGACGUGGGUUUCUCAGGGUUAUCCCUGUCCAUUCCUGAUCAGACGUGGGUUUCUCAGGGUUAUCCCAGUCCAUUCCUGAUCAGACGUGGG